rnacentral:rRNA from 1 species
UACGGAGGGUGCAAGCGUUAUCCGGAUUCACUGGGUUUAAAGGGUGCGUAGGCGGGCAGGUAAGUCAGUGGUGAAAUCCCCGAGCUUAACUUGGGAACUGCCGUUGAUACUAUCUGCCUUGAAUAUUGUGGAGGUGAGCGGAAUAUGUCAUGUAGCGGUGAAAUGCUUAGAUAUGACAUAGAACACCAAUUGCGAAGGCAGCUCGCUACACAUAUAUUGACUCUGAGGCACGAAAGCGUGGGGAUCAAACAGG